AACGAACGCUGGCGGCAGGCUUAACACAUGCAAGUCGAACGGUGAACGAGGGAGCUUGCUCCCUCCGGAUCAGUGGCGAACGGGUGAGUAACACGUGAGCAAUCUGCCCUGGACUCUGGGAUAAGCGUUGGAAACGACGUCUAAUACCGGAUACGAGACGGAGUCGCAUGGCUACCGUCUGGAAAGUUUUUCGGUCUGGGAUGGACUCGCGGCCUAUCAGCUUGUUGGUGAGGUAACGGCUCACCAAGGCGACGACGGGUAGCCGGCCUGAGAGGGCGACCGGCCACACUGGGACUGAGACACGGCCCAGACUCCUACGGGAGGCAGCAGUGGGGAAUAUUGCACAAUGGGCGAAAGCCUGAUGCAGCGACGCCGCGUGAGGGAUGACGGCCUUCGGGUUGUAAACCUCUUUCAGCAGGGAAGAAGCGAAAGUGACGGUACCUGCAGAAGAAGCACCGGCUAACUUCGUGCCAGCAGCCGCCGUAAAAC
rnacentral:rRNA from 1 species